UAUAUCGGAAUCUAUUUUCGCUUCAUGCCAACAAGCCGCUUCAUAACUCGAAAGUUUAUGCAAAAAAAAAAAUACCUUAGACAUGGCUGUAUGGACGUAGUUACCUUUACCUUCGAGAAAAAAAAAAUACCUUGUUAUAUUUUUCUUGAUCUCGUUGCUGAAGUUCUCUUGAUAUUUUCCUGUGCUACUUAUUUCCUAUUUUGUUAGAAUUUGUAGUUUACAAGUUCAUUGAAUCGAGCCGUACUUCCCCGUUUUUUGCGUCAACAUUCUACUGUAAAAAUUUCCAGAAUCAUUAUGUGUUUUGGAAAGAGCUGAUAUGAUAAUAAGUUUGUCUAUAAUGUGCGUUGAUAAAUUGUAAUGUGUUAGAUGCUGAUCGACUUUGUCAUACUAACUCAUACUCGUACUAAGAGAUGCGAGCAACAAUAACAAGUCUCCUGAAGAAUGUUCCAGUCAGAGUUGGAAACAAUUGUGACUGUAUAAGUUGUGGAAUAUCUUUGAACAGGCACUCAAGAAGACAAAAUCACAGGCCAUAGGCUUAUGGAAAAAAAGUGAUAAGUGGUAUUAUACAGAAAAACAAAUAUCUCCAAGACAGAUGCCUGAUGGAUGCUUGAAUUAGAGAUGAAUGGUUGUUUGCAGGAUGAGCUCACAUCGAAAGCAUUAAUAUUUAGUGAACAGUAAAGCUGUGUUAAGUGUGCCGUUGCAUUGUAUGUAGUUAGUAGCUAUUUAUGUUCAUAGAUGUUGUUAAACUACCUAUGAGCUUAAAUCACUUUAUAUUAUCAUAUCAUAACAUAACAUAACAAAUACUUUUUUGCACAAACAGGAAAAAACAAAAUACAAAACAAAAGAGAAAUAAAAUUAGUACAAUAGGCGGCCUUAUCAUUAAAUAGAUAAUAAAAAAAAUAACUAUGUAUAUUUUAAUGUUAUUGUUAAGUUUUUAUAUACCUACUUACUAAUAAUGUAACCAUACAUCUCAUCAUCUCCUAUUACAUAGCUUGUGAGGUGGAUGGCGAACCUCAUCAACCCUGUUAUAGGAUUAUUACUGAGCCACCCUGUUGUUACAUAAACCAAGUCCCCUGACAUGGUUUAUGUAACAACUAUGUGUUUAUAUUAGUAAGUAGUAACUGGGACCAACAGCUUCACAUGCCAUCCAAAGGAUCGCAAAGUAAUUUUUGUGAUAUGUCGACACCGGGUUCAAACUUUGGAUUGUGAGCCUGUCAGUCAACCACUCUGAAUAACAGAGAAGGGGAGGAAAGUAGUUGGUUAAGUUGAUGUUUUAUUAAACUAUUUGAUUAAUUGUAGAAAUAUUUUGUAUGAGUAUGAGUUGCACCUAUGACAUAUUUUAAAUAUAAUAAUAAAAAAACUU
rnacentral:lncRNA from 1 species